ACGCUCGACACCUACGGGAGGCAGCAGUGGGGAAUAUUGCACAAUAGGGGAAACCCUGAUGCAGCGACGCCGCGUGAGCGAAGAAGUAUUUCGGUAUGUAAAGCUCUAUCAGCAGGGAAGAAACUGACGGUACCUGACUAAGAAGCACCGGCUAAAUACGUGCUAGCAGCCGCGGUAAUCUGAGCGGGCUGGCAAGGC
rnacentral:rRNA from 1 species